CCUACGGGAUGCAGCAGUGAGGAAUAUUGGUCAAUGGACGAGAGUCUGAACCAGCCAAGUAGCGUGAAGGAUGACUGCCCUAUGGGUUGUAAACUUCUUUUAUAUGGGAAUAAAAUGUUCCACGUGUGGGUUUCUGUAUGUACCAUAUGAAUAAGGAUCGGCUAACUCCGUGCCAGCAGCCGCGGUAAUACGGAUGAUCCGAGCGUUAUCCGGAUUUAUUGGGUUUAAAGGGAGCGUAGGUGGAUUGUUAAGUCAGUGGGGAAAGUUUGCGGCUCACACGUCAAAUUGCAGUUGAAACUGGCAGUCUUGAGUGCGGUAGAGGUGGGCGGAAUUCGUGGUGUAGCGGUGAAAUGCUUAGAUAUCACGCAGAACUCCGAUUGCGAAGGCAGCUCACGGGACUGCAACUGACGCUGAGGCACGAAAGUGUGGGUAUCAAACAGGAUUAGAUACCCCGGUAGUC
rnacentral:rRNA from 1 species